rnacentral:rRNA from 1 species
ACAUACGACCAUAGGACGUUAAAAACAAGGCUUCCCGUUUGCUUAGCCCUAUUUAAGCAACAUACCGGCGGAUUAGUAGUUAGGUGGGUGACCACUAGCAACUCUACGAGUCUGCG